UUCUUCUUGGCCUCAUUCGCGACAUUCACGCUUCUUCUUCGCGGCAUUCACCAACGCCAGAGCAGCUUCUACUUCAACAAAAGAGCAGCUUCUUCUCCAUCUUUUCUUCCGUUUCGUCGCCAUUCACCACCACCAAGGGUCCGUGCUUUCUUGUGUUUUCAACGGGUUCCGGAGCUCUCCCCAAGUAAUGCUGGAGUUCUACAAGAGGAUUGGUGGAGCAAAAAGUGUCUUGAAUUUGCUUGAAAGUUGUGUUGUGAUUCAUGUGAUGGUGUGUUGUAGACAUUUUAAUGAUGCUUUGUGGUUGAUGAAAGAGUUGAUGAUAAGGAAGGGAUUUUGCCUUUGGAGAUUUUGGGAGGGCUUAUUGAUAGUUAUGAUGUAGGUUGUGGGACUAAUGCUGUAUUUUUCACAUUGGUUAUGAGGUCAUAUGGUUUCGGUUCAUGCACUGAAUAAUUUUUUGAAUCAUCUGAUAAAGUUAGAUGAGGUUGGUUGCUUUUGGCUGGUGUAUAGGGAAAUGGUUUCUUAUGGGCAUAUGGAGAAUGUGUAUACUUAUAAUAUUGUUAUUUAUGCCCUUUGUAAAGAAUGUAAAUUGUUUGAGGCAAUUUAUGUGUUUUACUGGAAGGUAAAGAGUGGAAUAGUGCCAAAUGUUGUUUCCUUCAA